CUUAUAUAUUUUAAAAAGAAUAUUGCGUUGAAGUUGCAAAGGAGGGGUUUCCCUGUAAGUGU
rnacentral:tRNA from 1 species